rnacentral:rRNA from 1 species
CACGUAGGGCGCGAGCGUUGUCCGGAAUUAUUGGGCGUAAAGAGCUCGUAGGCGGCCUGUUGCGUCCGCUGUGAAAAGCCCGGGGCUUAACCCCGGGUCGGCAGUGGAUACGGGCAGGCUAGAGGUAGGUAGGGGAGAAUGAAUUCCCGGUGUAGCGGUGAAAUGCGCAGAGUAUCGGGAGGAACACCGGUGGCGAAGGCGGGUCUGCUGGGCCGAUACUGACGCUGAGGAGCGAAAGCGUGGGGAGC